ACGCUCGACACCUACGGAGGCAGCAGUGGGGAAUAUUGCACAAUGGGGGAAACUCUGACGCAGUGACGCCGCGUGCAGGAAGAAGGUUUUCGGAUUGUAAACUGCUUUAGACAGGGAAGAAAGAAAUGACAGUACCUGUAGAAUAAGCUCCGGCUAACUACGUGCCAGCAGCCGCGGUAAUCUGAGCGGGCUGGCAAGGC
rnacentral:rRNA from 1 species